AACAAGGAUUCCCCUAGUAACUGCGAGUGAAGCGGGAAAAGCUCAAAUUUAAAAUCUGGCAGUCUUUGGCUGUCCGAGUUGUAAUCUAGAGAAGUGUUAUCCGCGCUGGACCGUGUACAAGUCUCCUGGAAUGGAGCGUCAUAGAGGGUGAGAAUCCCGUCUUUGACACGGACUGCCAGUGCUUUGUGAUGCGCUCUCAAAGAGUCGAGUUGUUUGGGAAUGCAGCUCAAAAUGGGUGGUAAAUUCCAUCUAAAGCUAAAUAUUGGCGAGAGACCGAUAGCGAACAAGUACCGUGAGGGAAAGAUGAAAAGAACUUUGGAAAGAGAGUUAAACAGUACGUGAAAUUGCUGAAAGGGAAACGCUUGAAGUCAGUCGCAUUGUCUGAGAAUCAACCUUGCUUUUGCUGGGCGUACUUCUCAAAUGAUGGGUCAGCAUCAAUUUCGACCGUUGGAUAAAGUCUUAGGGAAUGUGGCAUCUUCGGAUGUGUUAUAGCCCUUUGUCGCAUACAACGGUUGGGAUUGAGGAACUCAGCACGCCGCAAGGCCGGGUACUUGUACCACGUUCGUGCUUAGGAUGCUGGCAUAAUGGCUUUAAUCGACCCGUCUUGAAACACGGACCAAGGAGUCUAACAUGCCUGCGAGUAUUUGGGUGGAAAACCCGAGUGCGUAAUGAAAGUGAAAGUUGAGAUCCCUGUCAUGGGGAGCAUCGACGCCCGGACCAGACCUUUUGUGACGGAUCUGCGGUAGAGCAUGUAUGUUGGGACCCGAAAGAUGGUGAACUAUGCCUGAAUAGGGUGAAGCCAGAGGAAACUCUGGUGGAGGCUCGUAGCGAUUCUGACGUGCAAAUCGAUCGUCAAAUUUGGGUAUAGGGGCGAAAGACUAAUCG
rnacentral:rRNA from 1 species